UACAGAGGUCCCAAGCGUUGUUCGGAUUCAUUGGGCGUAAAGGGUGCGUAGAUGGCCUGAUAAGUUAGCAGUGGGAAAUCGAGGCUCAACCUCGUGGAAGCUGGUAAUACUGUCAGGCUCGAGUGCAGGAGAGGUUAACGGAACUCCAUGUGGAGCGGUAAAAUGUGUAGAUAUAUGGAAGAACACCAAUAACGGCGAAGGCAGUUAACUAUUCUGUUACUGACAUUGAGGCACGAAAGCGUGGGGAGCAAAACGG
rnacentral:rRNA from 1 species